UACGAAGGGUGCAAGCGUUACUCGGAAUUACUGGGCGUAAAGCGUGCGUAGGUGGUUUGUUAAGUCUGCUGUGAAAGCCCCGGGCUCAACCUGGGAAUGGCAGUGGAUACUGGCAAGCUAGAGUGCGGUAGAGGGAUGUGGAAUUCCCGGUGUAGCGGUGAAAUGCGUAGAGAUCGGGAGGAACACCAGUGGCGAAAGCGGCUCACUGGACCAUAACUGACGCUGAUGCACGAAAGCUAGGGGAGCAAACAGG
rnacentral:rRNA from 1 species